GGGCCCAGAUAACCCACAAAUCCUACAACGAAGGGGACUCUCCGCUGGGGAAAUGUCUGAGGCCUCGGUGCUGGCAGGUCCAUGCGGGAAUGGGGCUGCCUGAUCAGUAUAGACCAUCUGAUGCCUCUUGCCUGAAAAGAUGUUUCUCUAUCAGUCAGAAUGAACCCAGUUGUACUGCAUGCUGGUCUACAUGUGAUUUCUUGUGGGAGAGACUGGCUCUCUGUUCACCACAUCCAUGGCCUCUUUUUCUCUGGACACACAGGCGAAGAGACUGACGUACAGAAGGAUUGAAUAAUUGCCCCUGGCUACACACUCAAGCCAGACUUGGAACCCAAGCAGUUUGGUUCCAGAGUCCAGGCAGUAAUGACUCAUUCAUGUCACCUUUCAGCUGGUAUAUGGCCUGGUACGGAGCGGGGUACCUUCUGUAUAGUGGAUCAUUGGAUAAACCCAGUUCUUUCAGGUUUAGGGAAUUGGAAACAAUGGGUUUCAAAUAUUGACCCUACUGAUCUCCUAACUUCCCUGGGCCUUAGUGAUUUCAAUUAUAAAAUACAGCUAGCAGGACAGAUGUUGCUGGGUAUCGUGGUAUUAAUGAGUCAAUGACUCUAAAGGGUCGUGUAAAUGUCUAACGUUAUCCCAUUUAUCUGAAAAAUCAGCUUACUCUCAUUUGUUCUCCAUCUCAGUGGAAGAGUCACUGGAGGACAAACGGCCGCUGAGAUUGCUCUGCUACUUGUAUUAGAGAUAAUUUAAUUUCCUACAUGUUAAAGGCUGUUAAUCCUUGAUUUUCACUUUUCCCAGCAGAUACAAUGGCUCCCUUUUGGCUUUCUAAACACUCUGUGAAUACCCAUAAUCCACUUUGCAAUGAUUACUCUAAAAUGUUCCGCUUAACUCUUUCUCAUUUUUUUGAGAGAAAAUUAUUUUGCGCUUACCACUGGUAUCUAGGCAAGAUUUUUACUGUCCUGUUAACGAACCGAUCAUUUUGUCCUUCUACCACUAAGGGCCGCUGUUUCAUCGAUUUUUGUGGGGAGGAGGAAGGAGGGUGUUGCAGCUGAAGUACCUUCCAUGCUGGUAUCUGAGCUGUUGAAACUCGGCCUUUCACAUACUGUCAUUAAAAUGCAACAACCAAACCAGCAAAUAACCUUAGUAUUAAACAAUACCUUUAUCCAAGGAGCUCAAAGAUCCAGAUGCUCCAAAAUUAAUUAGAAACUAAGCUUCAUUGAUUAAUACAGAAAAGAAGAAGAAAAUCCUUUAAGUCUUGAAGCCGACUAGAAAAAAAAAUUCAGUUACGUGGGUAGCCAUUUAUAACUCAGAUAGAGGAACAU